rnacentral:rRNA from 1 species
UUACGGGAGGCAGCAGUAGGGAAUCUUCCGCAAUGGACGAAAGUCUGACGGAGCAACGCCGCGUGAGUGAUGAAGGUUUUCGGAUCGUAAAGCUCUGUUGUUAGGGAAGAACAAGUACCGUUCGAAUAGGGCGGCACCUUGACGGUACCUAACCAGAAAGCCACGGCUAACUACGUGCCAGCAGCCGCGGUAAUA